AUAUCAAUAAGCGGAGGAAAAGAAACUAACAAGGAUUCCCCUAGUAACUGCGAGUGAAGCGGGAAAAGCUCAAAUUUAAAAUCUGGCGGUCUCCGGCCGUCCGAGUUGUAAUCUAGAGAAGUGUUAUCYGCGCUGGACCGUGUACAAGUCUCCUGGAAUGGAGCAUCAUAGAGGGUGAGAAUCCCGUCUUUGACACGGACUGCCAGGGCUUUGUGAUGCGCUCUCAAAGAGUCGAGUUGUUUGGGAAUGCAGCUCAAAAUGGGUGGUAAAUUCCAUCUAAAGCUAAAUAUUGGCGAGAGACCGAUAGCGAACAAGUACCGUGAGGGAAAGAUGAAAAGAACUUUGGAAAGAGAGUUAAACAGUACGUGAAAUUGCUGAAAGGGAAACGCUUGAAGUCAGUCGCGUUGGCCGGGGAUCAACCUUGCUUUUGCUGGGCGUACUUUCCGGUCGACGGGUCAGCAUCAAUUUUGACCGUUGGAUAAAGUCCAGGGGAAUGUGGCAUCUUCGGAUGUGUUAUAGCCCUUGGUCGCAUACAACGGUUGGGAUUGAGGAACUCAGCACGCCGCAAGGCCGGGUACUUGUACCACGUUCGUGCUUAGGAUGCUGGCAUAAUGGCUUUAAUCGACCCGUCUUGAAACACGGACCAAGGAGUCUAACAUGCCUGCGAGUGUUUGGGUGGAAAACUCGGACGCGUAAUGAAAGUGAAAGUUGAGAUCCCUGUCGCGGGGAGCAUCGACGCCCGGACCAGACCUUUUGUGACGGAUCCGCGGUAGAGCAUGUAUGUUGGGACCCGAAAGAUGGUGAACUAUGCCUGAAUAGGGUGAAGCCAGAGGAAACUCUGGUGGAGGCUCGUAGCGAUUCUGACGUGCAAAUCGAUCGUCAAAUUUGGGUAUAGGGGCGAAAGACUAAUCGAACCAUCUAGUAGCUGGUUCCUGC
rnacentral:rRNA from 1 species